GAGUGAGUGGCGGACGGGUGAGUAACACGUGGGUAACCUGCCCUAAAGUGGGGGAUAACAUUUGGAAACAGAUGCUAAUACCGCAUAAAACCUAGCACCGCAUGGUGCAAGGUUGAAAGAUGGUUUCGGCUAUCACUUUAGGAUGGACCCGCGGUGCAUUAGUUAGUUGGUGAGGUAAAGGCUCACCAAGACCGUGAUGCAUAGCCGACCUGAGAGGGUAAUCGGCCACACUGGGACUGAGACACGGCCCAGACUCCUACGGGAGGCAGCAGUAGGGAAUCUUCCACAAUGGACGAAAGUCUGAUGGAGCAACGCCGCGUGAGUGAAGAAGGUUUUCGGAUCGUAAAACUCUGUUGUUGGAGAAGAACGUAUUUGAUAGUAACUGAUCAGGUAGUGACGGUAUCCAACCAGAAAGCCACGGCUAACUACGUGCCAGCAGCCGCGGUAAUACGUAGGUGGCAAGCGUUGUCCGGAUUUAUUGGGCGUAAAGCGAGCGCAGGCGGUUUCUUAAGUCUGAUGUGAAAGCCUUCGGCUCAACCGAAGAAGUGCAUCGGAAACUGGGAAACUUGAGUGCAGAAGAGGACAGUGGAACUCCAUGUGUAGCGGUGAAAAUGCGUAGAUAUAUGGAAGAACACCAGUGGCGAAGGCGGCUGUCUGGUCUGUAACUGACGCUGAGGCUCGAAAGCAUGGGUAGCAAACAGGAUUAGAUACCCUGGUAGUCCAUGCCGUAAACGAUGAGUGCUAGGUGUUGGAGGGUUUCCGCCCUUCAGUGCCGCAGCUAAACGCAUUAAGCACUCCGCCUGGGGAGUACGACCGCAAGGUUGAAACUCAAAGGAAUUGACGGGGGCCCGCACAAGCGGUGGAGCAUGUGGUUUAAUUCGAAGCAACGCGAAGAACCUUACCAGGUCUUGACAUCCUUUGACCACUCUAGAGAUAGAGCUUUCCCUUCGGGGACAAAGUGACAGGUGGUGCAUGGUUGUCGUCAGCUCGUGUCGUGAGAUGUUGGGUUAAGUCCCGCAACGAGCGCAACCCUUAUUACUAGUUGCCAGCAUUUAGUUGGGCACUCUAGUGAGACUGCCGGUGACAAACCGGAGGAAGGUGGGGACGACGUCAAAUCAUCAUGCCCCUUAUGACCUGGGCUACACACGUGCUACAAUGGAUGGUACAACGAGUCGCGAGACCGCGAGGUUUAGCUAAUCUCUUAAAACCAUUCUCAGUUCGGAUUGUAGGCUGCAACUCGCCUACAUGAAGCCGGAAUCGCUAGUAAUCGCGGAUCAGCAUGCCGCGGUGAAUACGUUCCCGGGCCUUGUACACACCGCCCGUCACACCAUGAGAGUUUGUAACA
rnacentral:rRNA from 1 species